GGCGCUUUGGCCGAGUGGUUAAGGCGAUGCCCUGCUAUGAGUUAGUGACCUCGGUCGCUUCCUAGACUAGGCAUUGUGUUCGCACGCGCAGGUUCGAAUCCUGCAGGCGUCG
rfam:Verticillium albo-atrum VaMs.102 supercont1.1 genomic scaffold, whole genome shotgun sequence.